UCAGGAUGAACGCUAGCGGCAGGCCUAACACAUGCAAGUCGCGGGGUAACAGUCCCGAGCAAUCGGGAGCUGACGACCGGCGCACGGGUGCGUAACGCGUAUGCAACCUACCUUUUACAGGAGGAUAGCCCGGAGAAAUCCGGAUUAAUACUCCAUAAAGUUAUCGAGAGGCAUCUUUUGAUAAUUAAAGUUUUCGGGCGGUAAAAGAUGGGCAUGCGUGGCAUUAGUUAGUUGGUGAGGUAAUAGCUCACCAAGGCGAUGAUGCCUAGGGGUUCUGAGAGGACAAUCCCCCACACUGGUACUGAGACACGGACCAGACUCCUACGGGAGGCAGCAGUGAGGAAUAUUGGUCAAUGGGCGCAAGCCUGAACCAGCCAUGCCGCGUGCAGAUGACUGCCUAUGGGUUGUAAACUGCUUUUAUACGGGAAGAACCUCCCGCUCGUGAGCGGGACUGACGGUACCGUAGGAAUAAGCAUCGGCUAACUCCGUGCCAGCAGCCGCGGUAAUACGGAGGAUGCAAGCGUUAUCCGGAUUUAUUGGGUUUAAAGGGUGCGCAGGCGGAUUUGUAAGUCAGUGGUGAAAUCCCCCGGCUCAACCGGGGAACUGCCGUUGAUACUGCAGAUCUAGAGUACAGUUGAAGUGGGCGGAAUGUAGCAUGUAGCGGUGAAAUGCAUAGAUAUGCUACAGAACACCGAUUGCGAAGGCAGCUCACUAAGCUGACACUGACGCUCAGGCACGAAAGCGUGGGGAUCAAACAGGAUUAGAUACCCUGGUAGUCCACGCUGUAAACGAUGAUCACUCGUUGUUGGCGAUAUACAGUCAGCGACUGAACGAAAGCAUUAAGUGAUCCACCUGGGAAGUACGAUCGCAAGGUUGAAACUCAAAGGAAUUGACGGGGGCCCGCACAAGCGGUGGAGCAUGUGGUUUAAUUCGAUGAUACGCGAGGAACCUUACCUGGGCUUAAAUGCACGAUGGCGAUCCCCGAAAGGGGAUUUUCAUUCGGGACAUUGUGCAAGGUGCUGCAUGGUUGUCGUCAGCUCGUGCCGUGAGGUGUCGGGUUAAGUCCCAUAACGAGCGCAACCCCUAUUCUUAGUUACCAUCAGGUUAUGCUGGGGACUCUAAGGAAACUGCCUACGCAAGUAGUGAGGAAGGUGGGGAUGACGUCAAAUCAGCACGGCCCUUAUGCCCAGGGCUACACACGUGCUACAAUGGCCGGUACAGAGGGGAGCUACCUGGUGACAGGAUGCCAAUCUCGAAAGCCGGUCUCAGUUCGGAUUGGAGUCUGCAACUCGACUCCAUGAAGCUGGAAUCGCUAGUAAUCGCACAUCAGCCAUGGCGCGGUGAAUACGUUCCCGGGCAUUGUACACACCGCCCGUCAAGCCAUGGAAGCCGGGGGUACAUGAAGUCCGUAACCGUUAAGGAG
rnacentral:rRNA from 1 species